rnacentral:rRNA from 1 species
UUGCUUGUYCUCAAAGAUUAAGCCAUGCAUGUCUAAGUACAGGCCGACCCAAGGCGAAACCGCAAAUGGCUCAUUAAAUCAGUCAUGAUUCAUUGGAUGUUGAUGAAUCUUUUACUCGGAUAACCGUGGUAAUUCUAGAGCUAAUACGUGCAAUCGAGCUCCGACCCCGCCAUUCCAGGCGGGGGAAGGGCGCAUUUAUUAGAAUCAUAAACCGAGCGGACUGCGGUCCGUCUCAUACGAGGUUGUGAUGACUCUGAAUAACUACGCCGAGCGCUGAGGCCUUCGUGCCGGCGCCGUAUCCUCCGAGUGUCUGCCUUAUCAGCUUUCGAUUGUAGGUUAUACGCCUACAAUGGCUGUAACGGGUAACGGGGAAUCAGGGUUCGAUUCCGGAGAGGGAGCCUGAGAAACGGCUACCACAUCUAAGGAAGGCAGCAGGCACGCAAAUUACCCACUCCCGGCACGGGGAGGUAGUGACGAUAAAUAACGAUGCGGGACUCUUCCGAGGCCUCGCAAUCGGAAUGAGUUCACUCUAAAUACUUGGACGAGGAUCCAUUGGAGGGCAAGUCUGGUGCCAGCAGCCGCGGUAAUUCCAGCUCCAAUAGCGUAUAUUAAAGUUGUUUGCGGUUAANNNNNNNNNNUUUAGNGUGCUCAAAGCAGGCAAACCUUAUAGCCUGAAUGUAUAUGCAUGGAAUGAUGGAACAGGACCUCGGUUCUGCAUUUUUCUCUCGGUUUUCCGAACCCGAGGUAAUGAUUAACGGGAACGGACGGGGGCAUUAGUAUUGCGACGCUAGAGGUGAAAUUCUUGGACCGUCGCAAGACUAACUACUGCGAAAGCAUUUGCCAAGAACGCUUUCAUUAAUCAAGAACGAAAGUUAGAGGAUCGAAGGCGAUCAGAUACCGCCCUAGUUCUAACCUUAAACGAUGCCAACUGGCGAUCCGCUUACGUCAUUCCCACGACUGAGCGGGGAGCCCCCGGGAAACCAAAGUCUUCUGGUUCCGGGGGAAGUAUGGUUGCAAAGCUGAAACUUAAAGGAAUUGACGGAAGGGCACCACCAGGAGUGGAGCCUGCGGCUUAAUUUGACUCAACACGGGAAACCUCACCAGGCCCAGACACCGGAAGGAUUGACAGAUUGAGAGCUCUUUCUCGAUUCGGUGGGUGGUGGUGCAUGGCCGUUCUUAGUUGGUGGAGCGAUCUGUCUGGUUGAUUCCGAUAACGAACGAGACUCUACCCUGCUAACUAGUCGGNNNNNNNNNNNNNNNNNNNNNNNNNNNAUGCACAUCUUCUUAGAGGGAUCGGCGGCGUCCAGCCGCACGAGAGAGAGCAAUAACAGGUCUGUGAUGCA